UGGGGUAUCGCCAAGCGGUAAGGCCGCGGCUUUUGGUGCCGCUAUUCGGGGGUUCGAAUCCCUCUACCCCAUCCA
rnacentral:tRNA from 4 species